CCGAGACCGGCCGCGCUCCGGCAGCGGCGGCGGCGGCUCCUCCGGGCAGCGCUGGGCUUGUAGGGCGAGGAGUGGCAGCCGCCGGGCGGAGAGAGAUGCGCACACACACCAGUGCGGAGAGAGAGAGAGAGGAGGGAUGGAGCGAUGCACAGAGCCAGGAGGAGGUAGAGACACCCAGCAGGAAAGGGAGAAAGAGAGAGGGAGAGAUGCCCAGAGCUGACAACUGCACGGUGAUCAGUGGAAAGGGGAGGAGAGAGAGGCAGAAAUGAGAGACAUCUCUCAGGGGAGACGGACACUUGCGAGGGAAGAGCGGGUGAGGGAGGCUGCGACGACGCGCUAAUCUGAUUAACGGGGGAGCGAGCUACAGUAGCCCGGAGACGAGAAGGCGUACAGGCGGCGGAGGCAGCAGCCACAGCGGGAGGCAGGUGGCACCUCCUCAGUCUCUUAGAGCUCCGUGACCGAGUGCAGACGGAGAGAGAAAAGUCACCUGGAAGCCUCUCUCCACCUCUCGCCUUCCCAUCCCGUUUCUCUGGGGAGUCCCAUGCCUGCCGUUAUCUGGGAUGGCAAAGCCUGAGAGCUGGCACAGAAGGAAAUCAGGGCUCCUUUAUAUGCACUGUACGUAGGAGGGGAAAAAAAAAAAAAAUCCCGCCCGUGAGGCUGUCAAGGUCCUCAGUAUCCAAUUUUCUGUCUAUCUCGGCGCCUCUCAGCAAGCCGCCCCCUCCCUUGCAUGUGACGCAGAUGUGCUCUGGGGCCGUCAGUGUGAAGAGACAGAGGGGAAGAGAGAGGCUUCAGGCUUCGUCGUGCAAAAAUGUAAGCUAGAGAGUUUCACAAGGCACUUCUGCAAGGAGAAGAAUUAAUUUGUGAAGCAUUGCCUGCUUCUGAGUUCCAAAGUCACUGCCACCAUUCCUGCAUUCAUCCAUGUCUCCAUCAGCUGACUUUAGAGUGCUGUUGAGGCUGUAACUUCCAUGGCAUCUGACAACAGAAGGGACUAUUUCAAAGGUACAUUUGAAAACUGUCUCUGAAUGUCAGAGUUGCUGAAAUAUGACAAUUUUAAUGAAUAUGACUCAUGCUGACUUGGAAAAAGAAACCAAUAAUGGACAGCUAGGUGAGGACUUUGCCUACAUAUUUAAAACUGAAAUCAUUCCAAUUAUAUAGGGUUUUUCUUUUUUAAAUGUGCCUGCAUAUAAACUAUUCCUUCUUCAUCUCUUAAAAUAAUUAAAUAGCAUCCUGUAAUUUGGUCACGUAGUAACCCUUUAUUCAUCUGGCCUAAAAUGUAUGAAAUUUUAAAUACUUCAUGGUUUGCUAAACUUGUUUUUUUUAUAGAAUACACUAAAGUGCUAUAGAAGAAAACCCUUAUUGUAAUUCAUAAUGUUACAAAUGAAGGCUAAAUCUAUAGAAAGUGAGAUGGGAGCUUUCAUUUCUUUAGAUCCAUGUUUAAUUGCUUCUAAUCACAAAAAAAUUAUCAUUACGGGGGUAGACUUCUGCUGCUUCCUUCUAAAAGUUUGUGUUUUUCCUGCUCAGAAUUGUGUUGCUCCCUAUAUGGAGCAAGAGGUCUAAAUCUAAGAUAAAUGAAGUGAAAAUAUUUUAGUUCAAUGAAAAAUUAUGAAAAAAACAUUUUUCACAGAAAGUGUAAGAUUUAGACAUAUAUGGGCAGAGGUGCUGCAAAAUUAGGUUCUUUUGAAAUUUACUUGAAAAUAAAGGUAAUAUAUAUUUAGUCUUCUUGAAGCA
rnacentral:lncRNA from 1 species